rnacentral:rRNA from 1 species
UAGGGAAUCUUCCGCAAUGGACGCAAGUCUGACGGAGCAACGCCGCGUGAGUGAAGAAGGAUUUCGGUUCGUAAAACUCUUUUUUUAGAGAAGAACAGCGCAUAGAGUAACUGUUAUGCGUGUGACGGUAUCUAACCAGAAAGCCACGGCUAACUACGUGCCAGCAGCCGCGGUAAUACGUAGGUGGCAAGCGUUGUCCGGAUUUAUUGGGCGUAAAGCGAGCGCAGGCGGUCAAAUAAGUCUGAUGUGAAAGCCCCCGGCUCAACCGGGGAGGGUCAUUGGAAACUGGUUUACUUGAGUGCAGAGGAGGAGAGAGGAAUUCCAUGUGUAGCGGUGAAAUGCGUGGAUAUAUGGAAGAACACCAGUGACGAAGGCGACUCUCUGGUCUGUAACUGACGCUGAGGCUCGAAAGCGUGGGUAGCAAACAGG